UUGAAACAUUGGUUCCUGUGCAAUCACUGAAGUUAAGCAAUGUCAAGCCUGGUCAGUACCUAGAUGGGUGAUCACUUGGGAAUACCAAGUACUGUAAG